AGACGGUCUGCAUUUGUAAUGAAGCUUGUUAUAAGAACCUCCAUGGCUUUAUAAAAGUUCUGUUCUCUCUCCAAGGACAUCACGGGUCUCUCUCAUUUAUGGGCAUGGUGCAGCAUGCCUUGUUCACUCAGUAAUGUUUGCCAUAGCCAGACAUAACCUUUAAUAUUCAUUUAUUUGUGGGAGAUAAUACAACAUGCGCCACUGUGGAUUACUAAAGGAGGAGAGUUCUGAUGAACAGUAUUUCUGAAGUAAGUGUUUGCUUACAUCUCUGACCUGCAAAUUGCUGGAGGCUAGGAGAGUGUGGUUGUUGGGAAAGUGUACCAGGAAAACAUUGCUGUACUUUUCCUUGUUUUGUACUCCUUCAAAAUUAUCUGCUUUUGGCCACUGUCCCCAUGUUUUUCUCCCCUUUAGGUAUGGGAGGCAGCCCAUCCCUAACAGAGACUAAAACACAAAAACAAAACAAGAAAAAAAGAAGAAAAAAAAAGAAAAGAAAAAAAAAAAAGAGAAUAGGUGAAGAGAAUACAUUGGAGAGGAAAAAAAAACAAGUGAUCACAGGUGAGAAAAAUGAUAAAAGGUAGAUAUAGUGGAGAGUCAAUAGGUUAAAAAUAGGGAACCAGAAGGGGAUGCUUGGCAGAGCACCCCAGCUGCACCCACCUCUCCCUUGAGGCACCCAAGUACCUGCUGGAUGCUGACCUGUGGUACCCUGCAAGGAGACAUGGCAGGGCCAGGCAGUGGAAACAGGACUUACUGUCUCUGCCUACCAAGCUACCAGGGACACCAAAUUAGCUCAGAAUGCAUGCUGGGCCUUCAAUGCUCCUUAUAUUCUCCUGGUGGAGAGAGCUCUUAGCACAUUGUGUCUGAGUGGGGUGGGUUGAUGAGGCAAUGGAAUGAGAGGGCAAGAGCUCAUAAAGGUGUUGCCAAGAUGUGGUGUGGAGGUGGACACUGGGUACCGUGGUGUCUUCUAGAGCCAUCUGCAAGGAGGCACCUGGCAGGGCCUGCAAACUUAGCUGAGGAAAGCUUGAUGCUGCUGGGCAGCUGGACUGUUUCUGCUGGGGUGCAGUAUGGACGUAUGUGUGGGAGACUCUGGGACAUGAAGGCUGAUCGGGGAAAAUAA
rnacentral:lncRNA from 1 species